UUUGGCGUUCCACCAGGAAGUUGCUGAUAUAGUUGACUGAUAAUUAGUCCUUAAGGCUGUUAUUGUUACGCAGUUUCUCAUUGGUCAAUAUCGCGCGUUCAACCGUGAAUUUAUCAGUCCCUUUUUGCAUUUGUGGCAGAAACUGUUAGCUAACUGGCAUUGUAUUUCUUGCUUGUAUUGUGUGCAGACGUGGUUUAGAAAUUUUGCUUGAAAUUUAAUUAAAGUUCCACCGUAAUACGAGCACUCAGAUAUAAUAAAAGGAUAUAACAAUGGACAGGAGGAAUGAUUACACGUAUUCAAGUUAUUAUAAGACUCGUUUGACAAAGACUGUGUAUCCAUGUCAUCCGUCUCUGUGGACUGAUCAGAAUGCGAAGCACCUGAUUCCAUGCGGGAUUCAUUAUCAAGUAUCAGAAACAUCAGAUUCAUCAUUACUGCUUGAGCUAGAAUCAUCAGGAGGUAUUACAUAAUUGACCCAUCGUCUUGGAUAACUUUUAACAGCUUUACGUUCGGGCCAUUCAGCAAUGUCAGCAAGCCUAAUCUGAUCUGCAUGUACUUGAACAACUGAGUUGUCAAGCUGGUUCUUAAUAAGGUAUGUGACUGGACCUUUUUGUUCAAGAAUUCUGUAAUGCGAUUUCCAGCGAUCUUCA